CGCCGAUCCUAAUUAAUUGAAUCGUCACCUACCCGAAAUAAGUUUACGUCCUCUAAUAAAGUGCCUGGUUCCUGUCGAGUGGCCAUCUCCGACAAUACAUAAAGAAAGCACUUGCAAAGGAGUUGGAGCAGUCCUGUCCCAGCGUUCCCAGUCGAGCAGAGGCUUCACCUUUGUGCCUUCGUCUUGCGUCGCUUCACAGUGGCUGAAAGAAAUGAUGAUGUGGGGAAUAGAGAGCUGCUGGCCAUCGUUCUUGCGCUACAAGAGUAGAAGCACUCGUUGGAGGCGACUGCCUCAUCAUUCCUGGUCGUCAAAGAUCAUAAAAACCUGACAUACAUAAGGACUGCUCAAAGAGUUUACUCCCACCGAGCACGUUGCUCACUGAUUCUCACGCACUUCAACUUUUACUUGUAUUACCUACAGACCCGGUUCCUGCAACCCCAGCCCGCUUUCCACAGAGUUUACAAUUCUGCUGCUGAGAAAACCACUCUGGAGGCCAUCAUACCAGAGGCUUGAGUGAUAGGAGCACUCCAGGAGGGAAGGGUGUCCCAUGCCUCCUCAAAGACCAAGGUCCUCGACAACGUUCC